rnacentral:rRNA from 1 species
UACGUAGGCGGCUUGGUAGGUUGGGUGUGAAAUCCCACAGCUCAACUGUGGAACUGCGCUCAAAACCACCAAGCUUGAGGGAGACAGGGGUAAGCGGAACUGAUGGUGGAGCGGUGAAAUGCGUUGAUAUCAUCAGGAACACCGGUGGCGAAGGCGGCUUACUGGGUCUUUUCUGACGCUGAGGUACGAAAGCUAGGGUAGCGAACAGGAUUAGAUACCCUGGUAGUCC